rnacentral:rRNA from 1 species
AUUGAACGCUGGCGGCAGGCCUAACACAUGCAAGUCGAGCGAGCGGCGGACGGGUGAGUAAUGCCUGGGAAUUGCACAGUCGAGGGGGAUAACAGUUGGAAACGACUGCUAAUACCUAAUACGAUUGGAUUGCCCAGGUGGGCUUAGCUAGUUGGUGAGGUAAUGGCUCACCAAGGCGACGAUCCCUAGCUGGGCUGAGAGGAUGAUCAGACACACUUGAACUGAGACACGGUCCAACGUCCUACGGGAGGCAGCAGUGGGGAAUAGUGCGCAAUGGGGGAAACCCUGAUGCAGCCAUGCCGCGUGUGUGAAGAAGGCCUUCGGGUUGUAAAGCUCUGUCAGCGAGGAGGCGUUACUCGCAGAAGAAGCACCGGCUAACUCCGUGCCAGCAGCCGCGGUAAUAC